GGAGGAAUGCCSUCCUUUGGUUUACAACCUUCUCCAGGGACGAAGGCCGUURGGGUGACGGUACCUGUAUAAGAAGCACCGGCUAACUACGUGCCAGCAGCCGCGGUAAUACGUAGGGUGCGAGCGUUGUCCGGAAUUACUGGGCGUAAAGAGCUCGUAGGUGGUUUGUCGCGUCGUCUGGGAAAUUCCGGGGCUUAACCUCGGGCGUGCAGGCGAUACGGGCAAUACUUGAGUGCUGUAGGGGAGACUGGAAUUCCUGGUGUAGCGGUGAAAUGCGCAGAUAUCAGGAGGAACACCGAUGGCGAAGGCAGGUCUCUGGGCAGUAACUGACGCUGAGGAGCGAAAGCAUGGGUAGCGAACAGGAUUAGAUACCCUGGUAGUCCAUGCCGUAAACGGUGGGCGCUAGGUGUAGGGGUCUUCCACGACUUUCUGUGCCGUAGCUAACGCAUUAAGCGCCCCC
rnacentral:rRNA from 1 species